rnacentral:rRNA from 1 species
CACGUAGGCGGCUUUGUAAGUUAGAGGCGAAAGCCCGGGGCUCAACUCCGGAACUGCCUUUAAGACUGCAUCGCUAGAACGUCGGAGAGGUAAGUGGAAUUCCGAGUGUAGAGGUGAAAUUCGUAGAUAUUCGGAAGAACACCAGUGGCGAAGGCGACUUACUGGACGACUGUUGACGCUGAGGUGCGAAAGCGUGGGGAGCAAACA